CAAACGUCAAAUCGUAUGACGUAUCACUGAGUGUUUAUGAAUAUAAUAUACUUUUGUUCCAAAUGCCUCAAUGCAGUGCGUUAAAUUGUAAAACAGAGGAAUACAUUUAUUUCCAAAGGAAAGUAAACGUAGAAAGCAAUGGGAAUCUGCGUUACGUAUAAAAACUUCGAAGCUAGUAGCACAGCACGAUUGUGUGUUGCGCAUUUUACAGAAAAAGAUUAUUACGGGAAAAUCAAUUAUACAGGUUAUGAGCUCCUUGCAAAAUUUCUUAAAAAGACAGCUGUGCUAUCUGUGUUCUUCUUAACGAAGAUAAAACCAGAAAAUCCAGCUGCUGUGGCACAUCAACAACGUAUUGAACGAAGAAGUCAGUCGAGUAACAAAUGUAGAUAAUUCACAACCAUCAAGUAGCAAAGUUAACCUAAUAAGUGACAGAGACAAUUUACUGGAAGUUGAUCAUGAAGAAGCAGUCAAAACAGAAGACAACAGUGCAGUAGGAUGUACAUAUAUUAUGCAUGAAUUUAUAUCUAAGGGCACUCAAGUUGAUCAAGAACACAAAUAUGGGUUUAUGAAUAGAUAUAAAGAUGAUAAUGCCACUAUUAAGUUUUACACAGGUUUUGAAUCAUAUAAAAAAUUUAAUUUAGUCUACUCAGCUCUUAGUCCAGUGGUUCACAAAAUAAAAUAUUAUGGCAGCAAUGUGAUUAUUCUUAGCAGUGAUUCUAAUUCUAAUUUAUUAGUUGGUGCAAUACCUGGUAGCUUGCUGUUAUAUUGUUCCCAAGCAUUUGCAGGAUUGAUAAGUGAUCAGUAGGCAGUGGAACAAAGUGACCUUUUAGCAAAA